AUGUUUUUAAAAUAUGAACCGUAUGAACCUCAGAUUGGCUCGUUGGUGAAAAUUCGAGACCUUAAGAGUGUACUCUUCUCAAGGUUCUCAAAUCCUGUGUUAACAAUUCCCGUGUUAGGCCAGUCCCUACAGAGCUUUCCUCUGGCUUUAAAUAGGCCCCCACUAGUGAAGGGUAUGAUUGAUCCUUUUGGUUGA